rnacentral:lncRNA from 1 species
CAUACAGAACUUGCGGCAAGAGAACAAUUGUAUUAUGUUGGCAUCGUCAGCACAGGAUAGCGGUUUCUUUCUUUGUGUUGAUGUUGAGUACGCAGCCAAAUGGGAACGGGGACAGCCACGUGCUAUGUGGGCCGAAAAAAGAGUGCAGCCGUCAUGAAUAUCUGCGUAGCGUUGUCUUUUUUAAUAUUUGUGGAACUAUGUGACUCAUCGAGGCCUAAAGCGUAUGAUGACCGGUGCAAAAUUAUUCUUUACGCAUCAUCAAGCGAAUGUCCUCGUCAGCGAUGGUUCUAUGAUUGGAAAAAUAAAUUCUGCCUUCCCAGUUGCAGCGCAACAGCACCCUUUUCAAGCAAAAUAGAAUGCCAGGGAAUAUGCCGAAGUGGCGAUGUUUGCGAUUUCCCGGUGGCAAGUGCCCUCUGCUUCAACCAUGUGUUUCCAGUCUACGUGUACAGUCCCAAAGAGGAAAGAUGUUUCCUGACUUACGAUUGCACAUACUUCCUAAAUAAGUUUCCUACUUUAGGAGAAUGCCUACGUACUUGCGGGCAGCGUAAGUAAGCAUGUUA